GAAGAAGAGGAAGAAAUCGAAAGAGAACUGAUACUUCUAAGACAACAGCUGACUGAUUUCUCUUCCAGGAAAUCCAAAUAGCAAUGUGGGAGCCUGUUCAGUACCAGAAGGAGAGUUGUUUAUUUCAGAAUACCAAAUUUCAUUGAUGCUGAGAUGUCAACAUCGACAUAUGAGAGCAAAGGAAGGAAGGAGUCUAAAUGAGAGGUGA